rnacentral:rRNA from 1 species
UACGAAGGGGGCUAGCGUUGCUCGGAAUUACUGGGCGUAAAGGGCUCGUAGGCGGCCAACUAAGUCAGACGUGAAAUCCCUCGGCUUAACCGGGGAACUGCGUCUGAUACUGGAUGGCUUGAGAUUGGGAGAGGGAUGCGGAAUUCCAGGUGUAGCGGUGAAAUGCGUAGAUAUCGGGAGGAACACCAGUGGCGAAGGCGACUUCCUGGCCUGUUCUUGACGCUGAGGCGCGAAAGCUAGGGUAGCAAACGGG